CCAACGGCCCUCUUUAGGGCCACAAUUGUCGAACGAAACGAAACG
rfam:Haemonchus placei strain MHpl1 genome assembly, scaffold: HPLM_contig0002440